ACAUGGCUGGGGAACUCGUGAUCUUCUUAUAAUUCCUGGGGCGAAUACGUAUAGAACGGGAGCUAUCCCUGUCUUAAGCUCUGGCUUUUGGUACAUGGCACCCACCUGAUGAUCAAUGUCACAGGUGAAUUUAAAACUGACACGGUUACCCUGGCUAAUUC
rnacentral:other from 1 species